UACGUAGGGUCCAAGCGUUAUCCGGAAUCACUGGGCGUAAAGCGUGCGUAGGUGGCGUGUUAAGUGUGAUGUUAAAUCGCGGGGCUCAACCCUGUCGGUGCAUCGCAUACUGGCAUGCUAGAGGGACGCAGAGGCAAGUGGAAUUGGUAGUGUAGCAGUGAAAUGCGUAGAUAUUACCAGGAACACCAAUGGCGAAGGCAGCUUGCUGGGCUUCUUCUGACACUGAGGUACGAAAGCGUGGGGAGCGAACAGG
rnacentral:rRNA from 1 species